GGUUCCGUAGUGUAGUGGUUAUCACGUUCGCUUUACACGCGAAAGGUCUCCGGUUCGAUCCCCGACGGAACCA